GUCCAGCUGACGAGUCUCAAAUAGGACGAAACGCAUGUCCUGGAU
rnacentral:hammerhead_ribozyme from 1 species